rnacentral:rRNA from 1 species
AUUGAACGCUGGCGGCGUGCUUAACACAUGCAAGUCGAGCGGCAGCGCGGGAGCAAUCCUGGCGGCGAGCGGCGAACGGGUGAGUAAUGCUUCGGAAUCUGCCCUUCAGUGGGGAAUAACCAGUCGAAAGACUGGCUAAUACCGCAUACGAACUGAGGUUGAAAGCAGGGGAUCGCAAGACCUUGCGCUGAUGGAUGAGCCGAAGUCGGAUUAGCUUGUUGGUGGGGUAAUGGCCUACCAAGGCGACGAUCCGUAGCUGGUCUGAGAGGACGACCAGCCACACUGGGACUGAGACACGGCCCAGACUCCUACGGGAGGCAGCAGUGGGGGAAUAUUGGACAAUGGGGGCAACCCUGAUCCAGCGACGCCGCGUGUGUGAAGAAGGCCUGCGGGUUGUAAAGCUCUUUCGGCCGGGAAGAAAUCGCACAGGUUAAUACCCUGUGUGGAUGACGGUACCGGAAUAAGAAGCACCGGCUAACUACGUGCCAG